rnacentral:rRNA from 1 species
GACGAACGCUGGCGGCGUGCUUAACACAUGCAAGUCGAACGGGCCCGCACCUUUUUUUUGGGGGCGGGUUGAGUGGCGAACGGGUGAGUAUCACGUGAGUAACCUGCCCUCCUCUCCUGGAUAACCGCUUGAAAGGGCGGCUAAUACGGGGUGGUCCGGUUGGUCCGCAUGGGCCGGCUGGGAUAGUUUCAUCUUCGGGUGUUUCGGUGGGGGAUGGGCUCGCGGCCUAUCAGCUUGUUGGUGGGGUGAUGGCCUACCAGGGCGGUGACGGGUAGCCGGCCUGAGAGGGUGGGCGGCCACACUGGGACUGAGACACGGCCCAGACUCCUCGGGAGGCAGCAGUGGGGGGUAUUGCACAAUGGGCGGAAGCCUGAUGCAGCGACGUCGCGUGAGGGAUGGAGGCCUUCGGGUUGUGAACCUCUGUUUCCGGU